CCUACGGGAGGCAGCAGUGAGGAAUAUUGGUCAAUGGGCGCAAGCCUGAACCAGCCAAGUAGCGUGAAGGAUGACUGCCCUACGGGUUGUAAACUUCUUUUAUAAGGGAAUAAAGUGAGGCACGUGUGCCUUUUUGUAUGUACUUUAUGAAUAAGGAUCGGCUAACUCCGUGCCAGCAGCCGCGGUAAUACGGAGGAGCCGAGCGUUAUCCGGAUUUAUUGGGUUUAAAGGGAGCGUAGAUGGGUUGUUAAGUCAGUUGUGAAAGUUUGCGGCUCAACCGUAAAAUUGCAAUUGAUACUGGAAGUCUUGAGUACAGUUGGGGUAGGCGGAAUUCGUGGUGUAGCGGUGAAAUGCUUAGAUAUCACGAAGAACUCCGAUUGCGAAGGCAGCUUACUAAACUGCCACUGACGCUGAUGCUCGAAAGUGUGGGUAUCAAACAGGAUUAGAUACCCGAGUAGUC
rnacentral:rRNA from 1 species